AUGCUCUCUUUCUGUCUCUCAAAAAUGAAUAAACAUUAAGAAAAAAUAAAGGAAGAGUUCCGCUGUAUCUCACUUCCUGGCUUCCAAAAAGACAGUGCCCAGAAAGACAGUGACCUGGUAGCCUGAGGCCACGUCCCCUGCAAAGAGAUUCUCAACUGCGUCUUCAUCCUGUACUACGUGCUGGAGCUGCUGCUCAAGGUGCUCGCCCUGGGCCCGCGGGGCUACCUGUCCUACUCCAGCAAUGUGUUUGAUGGGCUCCUCACUGUCGUCCUGCUGGUCUUGGAGAUCUCCACUCUGGCCGUGUACCGGCUCCCGCACCCCGGCUGGUACGUGACUGCACACAACCCAGGGCGGCCGCAGCAGCCCGCGCCCUGAGGCCCAUCUGUUGGGGCUGCUGGGGGCCCAGUGCCCCAGUGUUAGGUGGCUCGGAGCUCAGCCCUCUGAGGACCGUGGGAGCAGACCUUGGGGAUCCUGUGAUGGGUCCUGACGCCCCGUCAGAUUGAUAGUGUGCCCAGCGCUGUGACAAGCCGCUGGGGGUCACCAGGAUGGGGCGUGCGGUUCCCGGAGAUGCCCAGGGUGGGCUGGGAGCCGUGUGACCUUGGCUUGUCACCUCCUGCUCCUGUAUUUCUCAGCCUGUUAGAUGGUGGGGGUGGGGGCCGCUGAAUCCACGCUGCUGUAGGAGCCCCACCGCCCCUGGGUCUGGUCACAGAGUGUAGACAUCUGGCCAGGGGGUCCCAGGGCACUCCGCAGUGUGACCUGCGGCUGUCGGGUCGCGCUGCCCAGAGCACAGCUGCCCCAGCCGGUGCAGGUGCCGCCCCUGGCCGUGGUGUCUCCGGAGGCUGCUCCUGUGCCGGUGGAGCGGGCCAGCUGCCCCAGCGCCGGCCGGGAGGGGCCUCUGUCGGGGAGGCGGGUCAGGCGGGUCGGGCGGGUGCUGGCUGUGGCGGUGAGCCGGGGUCUGGCGGGGGCCCCGGCCGCCUCGUUUC